GAUGGAAUGGUGUGCGUGGACAAAUAAAUGUAGUAGUAGUGCAAAGCUGUGUACUCAAACACUGCCUGUCAGGCCAAGAGACUUGGCAAAUCAAAGCUUCCUUGAGCAUGCAACUCUCCCUCUUCCUCUCUCAAAGGAAAGUUCCUUCUCAAAGAGCUCCUUCCCCAGACCCUGCAUUUCAAGGAUCACGAAGCAGGAAACAGACCAUCAUUUCAGGGGUGGAGAUAGAGCAAUCUACCUCCUUGCUGAAGCAAAUGAAACGGACUCUGGCACCUGAUUCUGCUCAGGCCCAUCUUACCAUAUUGCUUUGGGUAGUCCAAAAUGCACUGGUUUGAAUUCAGAUAUUUUGUCUCUAGACUUUUAUGCUUCUCAAGUUAUAGCAAAUACCUACAGCAUAGUGAGGAGCUGGACUACUUCACUCCUGUGGAGGGAAGGAUGUGAUGUGUGGUGGAAAACAGAAGGAUUUUUAUCACCACUAUUACAUUCGUAGCUCCUUCCUCUGUCCGUGAUUUCUUACAGCCUCCUCUCAGGAAGGCAGAUAUCCUCAUCACUACUGAACAGAGAGGUUGCAUCUAUCACCCACCCCAGGACAGAAAGAAAACAUGUGGUAGAGUCAGGAGUGGGUACUACCAGAUCUCCUGCAUCACUGGAGUAUCACCACACUUCCCUCCCUUGCCUGGGCCUGAUGAGCUGUAAGUGCCUUCUCAGGGUGAUGCCUCUUGCUGAUGAGCAGGGUAACUCUCCACAGAAGGUAUCCAAGUGCUGUCAAGAUCCGGACAACCUUCUCUGCAGAUUGCCAAAGAGUCCAGCAUUUCCUGUUUACAUUCUGUACAUACGCAUGAGGACACUCUGAAGUCACUCUACACUUAUAGUGUUGCAACUAAAGUAGAUUUGUUCUCAUGUAUUCUGAGAGGGCUUGUACUAAGUCUUUUUUCUGUGGUAUUUUUCCAGGCAUUUUCAUGAUCUUUCUUUCAUGGCAAUUGAAAUAACAAGAUCAGGCAAAAGAAAUCAAUGUAAUGUAUGAAUAGCAGUGUUUAUUUAAUGUAAUUCAAGGUAACAUUGCCAGAAGUUGUGUGCUUUUGAAAACAGUGAUGUGGAAGAAGUCUCCUUCCAUUUUGCUGGAUGGUACCCAGAUGAGCACCUCAGACCUUUCUGGGGGAAGUGACACAAAUAAGAUCACUCUGAUACAAGCAGCUGAAUUGGGUUCCAGUGCACAGCUGGUGGAGCUGAAAGCACAAAUGUGCCCAGUUUGUGAAAAUGAAGCUGAAGAAUGUCACCCUAAAGGAUGUUAUGGAAGAAUCAUUUGUGUGUUGCAGAUUCAAUUUCCAGCAAAUGUGCAAUAUCUGCAGUAAUCAGACAUUUCUUCAGAGGUAAAAUUGACUGGCAACUUAGCUUUGUUAUCCUGACAAGGAGAUACCAUGUUGUAUUUUUGCCUUCAGAAGGAAAAAGAACACAAGACUUAUCCAGUGCUUGCUUAAGCUAACAAAGUGACUGAAAAACCAGUGCAAGAAAUAAAUUGGAGUGUUGCAAUAGUGGCCUACA
rnacentral:lncRNA from 1 species